rnacentral:lncRNA from 1 species
CAGCAGCAGAACUGUUUGAGCCCGAGUUAGAAACCACAUGGAGCUUAAUCAUUAAUCACCAGUCUUUAAUUAACAGCUCUGAGCUUUGAACAAAAGGCACUUACCGCAAGGCUGCUGAGCCACCCUGAACCACUUUGGUGUGUUUUCAUUUGGAGGACCCAGUGGCCUUCAGAAGAGGAGCUGAUGGUGCAGCUCGCCAUUGGGUCAAGGGUCACAAUAUUAAGGAAGAGCAGAUGUUUGUGGCCUUUUCUGGCCUGGCAGCUGUUUCAAGCUGACUCAACAUGUACAGGGCUGCUAGAUCUCCAAAGCAGGAAGAAACCCGGCUCAUCAAUGGCUGCAGCAUCAAUGAGAACAGGAAUCCAGAGUAUCUGCAGGCCCUUACUACCUUUGCACAGGGAUCUACAGACUAAGAUGCUCUAGCAGUAUUUUCUAAAAAGAGGAGAAAAAACCCUGCUCUUCUGCAGCUUCAUCUCCUUAAACAUUAAAAAUGUUUAUUGUCUUGGACAAUUAUGUAUAUUUUAUUUUUAUAUAUUUUAAUGUAUAUUUUUAUUUCUCCAACACUCCUUUUCCUCAUGCUGGAUAUUUAUUAAUACUUCAAUGGUAAGUGUCAGGUACACAAAGAGUUUUCUUUCUACCCCCUAUCACAAUACAGCAGCAAGGAGCUUACUAAAAGCAAUAAGUAAGUCUUGUGGAUGUACCACAUGGUUAAGUCAUUAGACUCCAGUUUUGCAAGAGAUGCACAGAAAACCUUAUUUUCUGGCUUUUGUGUGACCUGAACUGUAGGUUCCACCAGCAAUGAACUCAAUCACUGUUCUCUCCUAGGCCAUUAUUAUACCUUGGCUCUAACCAUCCAAGAAAUUAAUCUCUCAUGCCCAACCUCUCCCAGUUCCUACUGUGCUCUGCAGCAGCUGUGCACCACCUUUGAUCCUUAUGUCUGCAUGACUUCAUCCAUAAACUUGCAUAUCUUGCUGUGAGUACUGAGUCUCUUCUUGUAGUAUUUUGCAAAGAAGAGCCACAGGAAUGCAAAGUUUUACAUGUUCCUGUCCCAUUUUUAGUCUUGCUUUAUGUAAUGUUUUUUAAAUGGGGCUAAGGAUAACGUGCCAAGUUUUAGGCUGGUCCUCCCCCCCAUACAGAUAAAAACUCACACAAUGCAAAACAGAAUAAAAGAAGUUCAGUUGUUCUCUCUUUUUUAAGU